UCUUUAUAUACGCAUGUUUUCUCACACUUCUCAUCUUCAUCUUUAAGCCUAGAUACCUUAAUUUCCUAAUUUCCUUCACUUCCAACUUUAAUGUCUUUCUUCUGAAAUGAUAACCAAGCUCUUUAAGCUCCGUUUGUUUGCAAGGAUUUGAUUUUCCGGAAAACAUUUUCCUGCUUUUACGGUGUUUGGUUGCAAGAAAGCAUUUUACACUUGGAAAAUAUUUUCCAAGACACGGGUAAUAUCUCAUUCGUUUUAAGGAAAAUGUCUUACGGAUUUUUUUCCUGUAAGACAUUUUCCAUCUCCUUCUUCAUCUAGGUAAAAUUGCUAAUCCUUCUUCCAUUCUUCAUCUUCUUAUUAUUUCUUCUCUUUUUCCUUAGUCCUUCCCAUAUUACAAACGUUAUAUUCGAGGUAAACCUUCGAUUUCACUGUAAAUUUUAUCCUUUUCUUUUUCUUGAAAAAAAUUGAAUCCAUGGGUUUUCUGGUAGAAAUCAAAAUGGUGUAGAGCUCUUGCCGUUACUGAGAUAAUUAGUAGGAAAAAGAUCAGAUAUUUCCCAUUUUUCCUGUCUAAUAUUUUUCUUAAACAAUAUCAAAUCAUUUUGCUUGGUUUUCUCUUUGUAUAAAGAUGGAAUUACUAAUUGAACAAAACUGUGAACUUCUAGUUCAAUUCAUUAUUGGAAUUUGAAAAUUAUCCAGGAUUAUGUAUAUAAAGCUUUUACAUUUUAUUAAUUGUUUGAAGUUGGAAUUUUUUCGUUUCAAAUUAGCUGGAUUUGAAUUUAUAAUUUACAAAAAUAUCUUUUUUGUGCCAGUAUUAGUCACUCUUAGCUUGGUUUCAUUAUCUUCAUUGUUGGUACGAAGUCACUGUUGGCUUUUGUAUUUAAUUUGUUUGUCUACUUCCCACUAAAACCCAAGCUUUUUCUGGCGUCUAUUGCAGGUUUUACUGACGCUGCUGUUUCGUUUCCAUUCCUCUUCGCAGGGUCUUAGCUUAAUUUUUUUUAAUUAAGCAGCGUUGGUUUGAGUUUUAUGUCUUUCUUUGUUUCUUUAUUCUUAAUUUUUUUGAGGGGUUUGGGAUUAAAAUAUGAAAAUGAUAAUCUAAAUGAUGAAAAUGAUAAUUAUUUUUAACUCAAGAUGAGGGUAAAGUUAGAUAUAUGAAGAGGCAAAUCAUUUCAAAAUGAUGCAUUAUUUGGAAGUGGAAAGGGAUAUGCUUAAAAAUGAUACUUAGAGCAUAAAUUUCUCGCCAUAGGUUGAUUUAACAAUGCCCAAUUUGCACUACAUAUAACAACAUUUAUUUUUGUUUUUUGUUAAUCUAUAGUCCAACCCUGUUUUGGAAGCAUUUGGUAAUGCUAAGACUGUUAGGAACAAUAAUCAAGGUGAGUAUAUUUUGUUUUAACAAGUUUUACACCCUGCAUGUAGUAGAUUCUAUGUUAUAAUCGUUUUUUUUACCUUUACAUGCAUGUUUUGAAUGAUGUAAUCGCUUUGGUAAGUUUGUGGAGAUUCAAUUUGACUGGAGGGGAAGGAUUUCAGAAGCUGCCAUCAGGACUUAUUUAUUAGAAAGAUCACGUGUUUGUCAAGUGUCUAAUCCUGAGAGAAAUUAUCAUUGUUUCUACAUGCUUUGUGCAACACCACCAGAACUUAUUGGAGAGGAAGAAUCAACCAAAACAAGUUAGGUCUGCUUCCACAACUAAGCAUUCCACAAGUAUGAAAACUUGAAGGUGGUCUGUCAAUGGGUUAGGCCUCUACACAAAUAUGAAAACUGGAGAGCAGACAUUCUAUUUUGGAUUGAGAUCAAAUACAACACAGUCAGGUCUGACAUCAACUGCAAGCUCUUUAGUGAAGUUGAAAUCACCAAAUAAGAAACGCCAAAGUAGUGGAGAUCUUAUAAUCACACAAGAAUCAGUUGCAAAUUAGAAGCAAGCAAAGAGCUUUGGCAUUUUGUUAGUUUGAGCUUUGGCAUUUUGUUAGUUUGAUAUUGGAUAUUGGAUUUGGUUGGUAUUAGUACAGAGUUUGUGCUGUAUAACCACUGUUUUGUUUUUGGUAAAGGCAAUAUUUUGGUGUUGGUUGAUAUUGCUAUAGGCACUUUAUUAUUGUUGGAUUCUUUUUGCUUGUGCAAAUGUUGGAUAGGUUGAUAAAGGCCUACAAUAUUUCCACUCAACAAA